GACGAACGCUGGCGGCGUGCUUAACACAUGCAAGUCGAACGGUGAAAGAAGAGCUUGCUCUUCUGGAUCAGUGGCGAACGGGUGAGUAACACGUGAUUAACCUGCCCCAGACUCUGGAAUAAGCCCUGGAAACGGCGUCUAAUACCGGAUACGAGACAGACCUGCAUGGCUACUGUCUGGAAAGUUUUUCGGUCUGGGAUGGACUCGCGGCCUACCAGCUUGUUGGUGAGGUGACGGCUCACCAAGGCAACGAGGGGUAGCCGGCCUGGGAGGUGGACCGGCCACAGGGGGCGGGGGACAGGGCCAGAAUUCCAAGGGGGGGCAGAGGGGGGGAAAUUGGAAAAAGGGGGGAAGCCCGGAGCAGGGGCCGCGGGGGGGGGAAGGACGGCCUUGGGGUGGAAAACCCUUUUCAGGGGGGAAAAAGGGGAGGGAAGGGAACCGGCAAAAAAAGCCCCGGCAAAUACGGG
rnacentral:rRNA from 1 species